GACGAACGCUGGCGGCGUGCCUAAUACAUGCAAGUAGAACGCUGAAGGAGGAGCUUGCUCUUCUGGAUGAGUUGCGAACGGGUGAGUAACGCGUAGGUAACCUGCCUGGUAGCGGGGGAUAACUAUUGGAAACGAUAGCUAAUACCGCAUAAUAGUAGAUGUUGCAUGACAUUUACUUAAAAGGUGCAAUUGCAUCACUACCAGAUGGACCUGCGUUGUAUUAGCUAGUUGGUGGGGUAACGGCUCACCAAGGCGACGAUACAUAGCCGACCUGAGAGGGUGAUCGGCCACACUGGGACUGAGACACGGCCCAGACUCCUACGGGAGGCAGCAGUAGGGAAUCUUCGGCAAUGGACGGAAGUCUGACCGAGCAACGCCGCGUGAGUGAAGAAGGUUUUCGGAUCGUAAAGCUCUGUUGUAAGAGAAGAACGAGUGUGAGAGUGGAAAGUUCACAC
rnacentral:rRNA from 1 species